rnacentral:rRNA from 1 species
UACGUAGGGGCCUAGCGUUGUCCGGAUUUAUUGGGCGUAAAGCGCGUGUAGGCGGCUUUGCAAGUCGGGUGUGAAAGCCCUCAGCUCAACUGAGGAAGUGCGCCCGAAACUGCAGAGCUUGAGUGCCGGAGAGGGUGGCGGAAUUCCCCAAGUAGAGGUGAAAUUCGUAGAUAUGGGGAGGAACACCGGUGGCGAAGGCGGCCACCUGGACGGUAACUGACGCUGAGACGCGAAAGCGUGGGGAGCAAACAGG